rnacentral:lncRNA from 1 species
UGACCUGCAUAUAGACAUGGGUUGAGAGGUCUUACCCAAAAUAGGAUUGAGUAUAGAUCAAAAUUUUAUAUGUUAUUGUUCUACAACUAAUCCAUGGAAUCAAAGAGAUUCAACAUAGUUUACAACUAAUCCGCUUGACCUGAACAAUGUGUAGAAAAAGCUAUAUACUGACAACAAAGUAGCACAAGUCUUUCAGAAAUCCAUUUCAUAUAAGGAAGGGCAUGUCAUACCCCAUUUGCAGAGGGAGGAUACAUCUUCCAUGUCUACAUUUUACUACCAAACUGCUAGAGCCAUCAUGCAUGACUAGUUACAUGCUACCGUCAAGCGGAACAGGAUUCGAUUCUGGUUGGAAUCACUUUUCAAUGCGUAGAAUGGGUUCAUUUAAGUGUGGAUCGUGGGUCAAUGGGUUGACCCUAGGUCAAUCACGAGUUGAUCCAUUAACUCACAAUAUCUCACUCAUUUUCUAACUCAGCUCCUGACUGAACGGCAUUAGCAGCUCUUUCCCUUCCACCAUCCCUCAUCUAGUGCAGGUUCCUCCCCCAAUC